rnacentral:rRNA from 1 species
GACUCUGUCGAAUAAAAUUCUAGGUAGAAUUAUGAUAAUGACAUUGUUUGCCUAUGUGUCUUGACCAAAUUACGUGCCAGCAGUCGCGGUAAUACGUAGAAGACUAGUGUUAUUCAUCUUUAAUAGGUUUAAAGGGUACCUAGACGGUAAAUCAAGCCUUCAAGGGGGACUAGUUUACUAGAGUUACUUGUGAGGGGGUAUUAAAGUACUGCUGGUGUAGAGAUGAAAUUCUGUGAUACCUCUUUUCGUAAGAAAAAUAAUGGCACAGGUAUAGGCGAAAGCAUCCCCUUAUGUGAUAACUGACGUUGAAGGACGAAGGCUUUGUGUAGCGAACAGGAUUAGAUACCCCAGUAGUCAAAGCAGAAAAUGAUGAAUGUCAUAGAUUAGACAUAUAAUAGUUUAUUCUAUAAAUGAAAGUGUAAGCAUUCCACCUCAAGAGUAAUUUGGCAACAUUGGAACUGAAAUCAUUAGACCGUUUCUGAAACCAGUAGUGAAGUAUGUUGUUUAAUUUGAUAAUCCACAAAAAACCUUACCACAAUUUGAAUAUUUAUAUUAUUUUUCUCAUCUAUUAUAUUUUAUAAAAAUAAUACAUUUACAAGCGUUGCACGGCUGUCUUCAGUUAAUGUCGUGAGACUUUGGUUAGUUCCAUUAAAUUAACGUAAACCCUCACUUUAUUUUUAUAUAAAGUAGUUCCCCACUAG